rnacentral:lncRNA from 1 species
CUGAACUACCGCAGGUCAAGUACUUCCUUUUCCCUGCGGGUGGCCAAGAAGGAGUGGUUUAGAAUCAGAUAAAAAGAUCAGAGUUGGAGUUCAAGAAAAAGCGAAUGCCUUGGCAAAUAAUUACAUUUACCUUCGUCUUCUCCCUUCCGGCUUAUCUCUGGGGAACCUGGUUUCUCUGCAUUUCCAGCAGGAUUCCUCUCCAUGAGAAGGGGAGUAGGGGAAGCAACAUAGGGCUUCAGCAAGCUAAGCAAGAUUUCAGGUGGAAACUAGCUUCAUCCUGUUCCCAGAAGGAGCCUGUGGAACCAGAAUUGGAGCACGGAGUUGGCCCCACCGUGAAGCAGGAGGUUGGCUGUCCUUCCAGUCAGUUCUUUAUUAUGGACUGUCCCAGGCGUGGAUGGAAUCUCCCCAGGAAGGCAAUUCUUGGGAGUCGGGGGCAGCUCUGAGCCCUCGGCAACCUCAAAGCAGCUGGAGAAUGGGCACUCAAGACUGGUAAAGAUUAAAAUAUAUGCAUCAUUAAGUUAUUGGGAUGUGACAAACCACUUGCUGGCCCGACACUGCAGAGAUCUGUGGCAUUUCACAUUUCUUUAGGUUGACCAUUUGAUGGGGGCUCAGUAGAUGAUCCUUUAGGUCUUAGGAGGUCCCAGCUGUUCUCACUCAUCUGGGGUCUCAGCUUGGAUGGCUAGGAUAGUUGGGGUGACUUUGGCCUCUCUUCACAGAAUUUCUUAUUAUCUACCACGUUGACCGCAAAUCUAGUUUGCUGCCUGUUUUUGUAAAUAAAGCUUUACUGGAG